GUUUUUCUUUACUUUUGGGUUAGGGUUAGGGCCGAUGUAUAUUUAUGCAUGUAGUUGUGAAAGGAGUUAGCCUAAAGAGCAGUGCGGGUGUAGGGAGGCCUGUGGAUAUCGAGACUGUAGAGUGUAUAUGCCAGCAAUAGCGAGCUGUUUCUGAGCUCCUGGAUUGCUUUUAAUCAGCCAUGUGCCCGCACGCUCCCAUUUCUAUUGUCUUAUGCUGGCAUCUGUCAAACACACGUGGCCGCUGGUCUACGUAGGGGCGGGGCGCAGAGAGGAGCUUCCAAGGGAAGGAAGGGGGAAGCUGAAGGCUUCGUUGGAAGAGCUGGGCUGGAGGCGGUCCCACUGGAGAGAAAGGAGGCGGUCCGAGUGUUUCAGGAAAUCUCUCCCCUAGGCGAGGCUAAAGUUGGUGAGAGCACCAAGUUUCUGAGGGAAUCCCAAGAAGUCAAAAUGAGUAUCAAAGCUGUUUGGUUGUCAACUGGACUACAUCUGGAAUGA
rnacentral:lncRNA from 1 species